GACGUUGUGGGGGCGGUCGACGUGGUGAUGAGAACGUUGACUACUCCAUUAGGACGUGACAAGCGCCAUGGGAGGAUGAAACAGGGAAGCGGCUCAGGCCCUUCAGCUGGGCAGCCCGGAACUCGGCCGGCCGCGUGCACCCCGAGUCGAAGGCCUCCCGCAGCCGCUGCAGCGUGUCCGCGAAGGGGUCCAUCCUGCCGGGCGGGGCAGCGUGGGUCGGGGCGCUCCACCUCCAGGCGCCCCCCACCGCCCCUGCCUGCACCCGCAUGGGCCCACGGGCACCCCCAUGGGGACUCACACGCGAGCAGAGAAGCUCCGAGAAGACAAAGCUAGUCCCUGUGCGUGGCCGUGAGUGGCGAGGCUUUCCAGGACUGACGGCAACCCAGAGUGCCCAAGCCAACCUGCCAGCGGGUCCCUGGCCCUGACUGCUCGCUGCUAUAUCCCCUGCCUCUGCAGAACACCGUACCUGAGGCCCUGUGAAGCUGCCCUUCCUCCUGGUUGGCCCUGCUCUACCCAGCUGCCCUUCCGUUAUAAAAUGUCCAAGG